CUCCGUGACUCCUACGGGAGGCAGCAGUGGGGAAUAUUGCACAAUGGGGGAAACCCUGAUGCAGCCAUGCCGCGUGUGUGAAGAAGGCCUUCGGGUUGUAAAGCACUUUCAGUAGGGAGGAAGGUAGUGUAGUUAACACCUGCAUUAUUUGACGUUACCUACAGAAGAAGCACCGGCUAACUCCGUGCCAGCAGCCGCGGUAAUACGGAGGGUGCGAGCGUUAAUCGGAAUUACUGGGCGUAAAGCGCAUGCAGGCGGCCUGUUAAGUCAGAUGUGAAAGCCCGGGGCUUAACCUCGGAAUUGCAUUUGAAACUGGCAGGCUAGAGUCUUGUAGAGGGGGUAGAAUUUCAGGUGUAGCGGUGAAAUGCGUAGAGAUCUGAAGGAAUACCAGUGGCGAAGGCGGCCCCCCUGGACAAAGACUGACGCUCAGAUGCGAAAGCGUGGGGAGCAAACAGGAUUAGAUACCCUGGGUAG
rnacentral:rRNA from 1 species